ACGCUUGUCAGACAUGAGCGCUUAAUCCAGUUAUAUUCAUAACCAGUCUGGCUGUUUAUGGAAACUGACAACCGCGUUCAAUAACCGAACUCACAUUCGUAAUUUUUCGGGAUUCUUAAGCAUAAAUUCGAUGAACACCUGCUGUGCGAACGGAACUUUUUCUGGCUUGCGUGCGAAUCUUUAGAAACACUUCCGUUUUCUCUCAGAAGCAGGAGAGAUGUGGGCCACAAUGGGAGGAGGUGCCAUGGAAGAGCUCUCAUUCUGGGAACGGAUCCUUUCUAAGAAGACUGAAGGUGACAUGGUGGCUUUAAUGCACACCCUUUCGAGUGGAGAAGUAAU